rnacentral:rRNA from 1 species
GAUGAACGCUAGCGGGAGGCCUAACACAUGCAAGCCGAGCGGUAGAGUCUCUUCGGAGACUUGAGAGCGGCGCACGGGUGCGGAACACGUGUGCAACCUGCCAUUAUCUGGGGGAUAGCCUUUCGAAGGGAAGAUUAAUACCCCAUAAUAUACUGGAUGGCAUCAUCUGGUAUUGAAAACUCCGGUGGAUAGAGAUGGGCACGCGCAAGAUUAGAUAGUUGGUGAGGUAACGGCUCACCAAGUCAGCGAUCUUUAGGGGGCCUGAGAGGGUGAUCCCCCACACUGGUACUGAGACACGGACCAGACUCCUACGGGAGGCAGCAGUGAGGAAUAUUGGACAAUGGGUGAGAGCCUGAUCCAGCCAUCCCGCGUGAAGGACGACGGCCCUAUGGGUUGUAAACUUCUUUUGUAUAGGGAUAAACCUAGAUACGUGUAUCUAGCUGAAGGUACUAUACGAAUAAGCACCGGCUAACUCCGUG